rnacentral:rRNA from 1 species
GUGUCAGCAGCCGCGGUAAUACGUAGGGGGCGAACGUUGUCCGGAUUUAUUGGGCGUAAAGAGCUCGUAGGCGGCUCAGCAAGUCGGCCGUGAAAGUCCGGGGCUCAACCCCGGGAUGCCGGUCGAUACUGCUGUGGCUAGGGUCCGGUAGAGGAGAGUGGAAUUCCCGGUGUAGCGGUGAAAUGCGCAGAUAUCGGGAGGAACACCAGUAGCGAAGGCGGCUCUCUGGGCCGGUACCGACGCUGAGGAGCGAAAGCUAGGGGAGCGAACAGGAUUAGAAACCCUCGUAGUCC